GAAAAAGCCCCACACCAUUCAUGAUGUUAACAAUAGCAGCAUUAACAGUCAUUGGACUCCCACCGAGUGUGUUAUUCUUUAAAUUAGAACCCAUGAAUAUAAUGAGAUGGAUUUUCACAGGAACAAGGGCAGGCUGAAACAAAGAGAUAAAGAAACUGAGGCUCAAUGAACUUGUAACGCUUUAGUGUCAGAGCUCUAGAAUGGGUGAAGGCCAGAUUCAGACCCAGGCAUCGUGACUCCCAAGUCUGCUUGUGGAUCCUUGAAAGCAAGGGUGAGCCAUAAGCAUUGCACCUUUGAGAGAACUGGUCAAGGCUCAAUUGGAAUAAUCUGGAGAAGCUUUUCUACAAUGUCUACACUCCAGGGCCCACACCUGCCAAUGAAAUCUGUACCUUAAACCUGAAGAGGACCAGGUAUCAAUAUUCUUUGAAAAGCAGCCCAGAUGAUGCAGCUAGGUAGGUGUGGGAUUAACAGCACAGCCGGGAAGUUUCAAAUUGGAAGCACUUCAGAAACUGUCAUAUGCGAGAAAGAUGGUAUCUCAUUCAGACCGACCACCAUUUCCCAAAGAUUUCUCCCAGAUCACUACUUCCUCAAGAUGCCCAGAGAACAUAAUUCUGUGACCAAAUGCGUAUGAGAAAUGCUGCCAACUGCUGACUCCUAUCUUUGAGACUUAUCUACGUAGUGCUUUUAGUGCUUUUUUGUUAUGACCUUGGCUCACUGCAGCUUCACCCUCCUGGGCUCAAGCGAUCCUUCCACCUCAGCCCUUCAAGUAUCUGGGACUACAGACACCUGCCACCAUGUCUAGCUAAUUUUUGUAUUGUUUGUAGAGAUGGAGUUUCACCAUGUUGCCCAGGCUGGUCCUGGUCUGAAACUCCUGAACUCGAGUGAUUCUCCAGCCUCAGCCUCCCAAAGUGCUGAGAUGACAGGUGUGAGCCACUGUGUCUGGUCUGUAGUGCAUCUUAAUGUCUCUGAGAAAACCUGUGACCAAGAAAACUAUUACCUCGGCUUAAUCCAGUAAUUUUCCAGGAAAGCUGCUUUUUUAUUUCAUAGCACCUAACACCCUGUGGACCUCCAGAAAUGGUGAUUCACGAUGAGGAGGAAGAGUACUGAGCCCUGUCAAGGGCAGCAUUGGGUGAGGAGCCUCUCAAUUACAUGUUAGGAAGUGAAGACACCCAGACCUCGGAUUCCAAUUUUGAUGCUUCAGUUUUAAAAUGGUGGGGGGUGAGGGGCUGAUGGAGAAGAGUCUUUAUGGACACAAAUGGACCAGGGUGCUUUGACCUUUUGUUCUGUGGUCUCCUCACUUAUUAGGUCACAUAACCUUCAGUGGGCUACAUAAACCUCUUUUCUCAUCUUUAGCAGAACAAAAAUCUGUGGUCUGGGCUUAGGGGCCAGUUGGACUGGGCUUUGGUCAUUGAUUCGCGCUGGUCUUUGAAAUGUGAGUGGAAGGGACAGACAGGUGUUGAGUCCAAGCAGAAGCCUUCGAUGUUCUUGUGUGGCUUGGCUCUGCCUCUGUGCUUCUCCCUCCUCCUUGAGAACAAUAUGCCCCACAUGGGAGCUGCUCCUUUAGCCAGGCCUCCAGGACCAGAGGACAAAUGGGGCUGAGCACAACCAAGCCCAGCUGAGCCAGGUCAGGGUUCAAUGUAGCCUGAACAUGAAAUAAAUGUUUAUAAUUUUAAACCAGGAAAAUUUUGGUAUAGUUUAUUAUAACAAACUGCAAUCUAUAAACCUGAUUUGGGUCUGAUUUAAAGAAACCAAACAACCUCUAAAAAUUAGGAGGUAAACAGGAAAACUUGUACACUGACGUUAAGAAAUUGAUGUCAUUUUUUUUUACAAGAUGUUAUAGGACUGUUUCACUUGUGUUUAGGUAAAGAAUCCUUAUCUUCAGUGAUCCACGCUGAAAUACUUAUGCAUGAAACGGUAUAAUGGAAGGACAGGAAAGUGGGCAGAGUCAUAAAUGAAGUAAGAAUGUCCAGGUGUUGAUAAUUAUUGAAGCUGGGUAACGGAUAAUUGGGGGUUUACCAUAUUAUUCAACUUUUGUUUAUGUUCAAAAUUUUCUCUGAUUAAAAAGCUAGAAAAUCAACAUUCACACAAACUCUUCUCCAUAGGUUGAAAAUAGGUGGAGUAUCUUGUUAGGAUUAUUAUAAUCUUUUAAUUUUAUAGCACUGCCAAUGAGCCAUCCCUGCCAUAAAAGAGUCAGCCAGAGAUAACUGGUGACUUCCACCACGUAAUUAUUAUCACCGUUUAUUUCAGUGGAAACUGCUGCCUGUUUGGAUUUGGAGAACACUAAGAAAGAGAAAUGAAGAUCUGGAGAAUUCAAAGGAUAAUUAUCCCUUUUGAAUAUUGACACACUUACAUGUUUUUCCAGACGUAGAUUUUGUGUAGGCGAAAGCUAUUUGAUUAUAAAAGAUCCGGUUUCUUCAAAUUUUUACAGGUAAAAACUUCAUUAAUUAACAUCAAGGAAAAUGGAGCAUCUGCUACUUUUUUGUCAACAGAUUUUAAUAAUAUUGAGCACUGCUAAUUGGAUAGAACUGAAAUAUAGCUCUUUGUAUGUUAAAUUAAGAUGAUUUCUUCUGCUAUUUUUCCCCUAAAUUUUAUUUAAACUAUGGCAACUCUUCAGAGUUUUCUUCUACCAUUUAAGUUAAAGUGAUUCUGAAUGACUAAAGGGGGUCCUGUGGAGCUCCAACGGUUAUUCCACCUCAGCCCUGGAAAGAUGGUACAUCAUUCAGACCAACUAUCACCUAAAGGGUGUCCUUUAGUGAUUCAGGUAAAGGGGAUCCAUGUUCAAAAAUGCUGUCAUCAUUGCCAUUGUGAUAGUUACUGUGACCUGGAAGGGAAAGAAAGGCAAUCAGACCUGCUAACAUUUUGGCUCAAGGAUUUUCUUGAAUGCUUCUGAAGUCGGGCUAUGAAACAGGGACAUUUAACAGGCUUGAGGAGAAACUCCAAAUACAAUGCUCAUUAAAGACCAAAUGAAAUAUUUGCUGAAAUGGAAGUGAUAGGAAUGGCAGACAGUGGAUUCUUUUGCUUCUCUUUAAACACUGACCAUUCUUCCCAGCAGAUGGUGGAUUAACCAUGGAGAACUGGAGGCAAACUUUGGGCCCAACUUAACCUCAGCUCUGAUUAAUCUACUGAAAUCAGAGGCACCGUUAAACUAAUCAGAAUGUAUUUUGAUGUAUAAGGGGAAGAAGAGUGGUGCAAUGGGAAGAAAGAUGAAAAUGGAGUCAAGUAGCUUGGGGGGCAAAUUGGACUUCACUAUUUUUUUGUUGUGUGGUUUUGAAUAAAUGACUCAAGAAGAACCAGCUCAGCAGAAGCUGAGCAUCAACUUCUCUGUGUAAUGAUGAAAAGACUUAUCAUGUAGGAUUGUAGUGAGGGAAAAUUUUAUAAGUUUUCAAGUUGUCUUCCUCCUCUGCCUUCUUGUGAUAUCAAAGAAAGGCUUCCAGACAUUCUUGGUUUUCAAACACUGGCAUUC
rnacentral:lncRNA from 1 species